UCAGAUCUUCUACCUAAUGGGGGAAUUGAAAAGGCAAUGCUUUUAGAGAAGAAAAGCUAAUGUUCCAUACGUACACAAAGUUGAAUUCCCAGGAGAAAGACUUACCCUUUUGUCGAAGUUCCUAGCUAGUCUUCAAUUCCAUUUGCAAAAGGGCCUGUCCAUGCUUAUAAAGAAGCUCAGAUACGUACAUAUAGAAGCUCAUCUUCUUGGGCUAGUGUGUUUGUUUGUCCCUCGUUAAAUGGCCGAGCGGGAGAGCCUGAGUUGCUUUCUCAUUCUGAUUGUUCUGGUCGUGGGUUCGGAGAUUCAUUGGGUUUCGUCCACCAGCACCGAUGAGACGGAGUAUGUGUCAGCUGUUGGCGACCCAGGAAUGAGGCGAGAUGCGCUGAGGGUGGGAAUAGAGUCAUGGAACCAAUGCAAUGAGGUCGGUGAGGAAGCUCCUCACAUGGGAAGCCCGAGAGCUGCUGAUUGCUUUGACAUUUACCGAGCCAUUCCUAAUAGAGAUGAAAAGAAUUGCUCCUUGUGCAAAUUGCUGCCCUACAUACUGGUCCACAGGGUCACGGAGGUAGACAACAGGCUUGGAGUUGGAGACCCCUUCCCAGGACUCCAUGCCGAAGCCCUGUUAAAUGCAGACCUCUACGCCGCGCUCAAGGAGCUCUACUUGGGCGCGAAAUGCCAGGUCGAGGACACCCCGAACCCAUGGCAGUUCUGGAUGAUCAUGCUCAAGAACGGCAACAUGGACACAUUUGCCUCCAGGUGCCCGAAAAACGGGCACAAGGUUGGACCCUUUGGCCCCGACACCGCCUUCCCUUGCUUUGGCAAGGGAUGCAUGAACCAGCCGCUGAUGUACCAUGACUACACAACUUUGCAAGGCCCUAAUUUGACUACUCUUAAGGGAAGGUUUCAUGGGUCAUGGGACUUGGAUGGUGUUUUCAGUGGCAUUGGUAAUAAUAAUUCAUAUUAUUCUGUGACAUGGGAGAAGGAAAUUGGGAAGGGCAAGAGUUGGGCAUUUCAUCAUGUCUUGAGGACUUCAAAGAAGUAUCCAUGGUUGAUGCUUUACCUGAGAUCAGAUGCCACCAGCGGGCUCUCUGGUGGGUAUCACUACCCCACCAGAGGAAUGUCCAAAAUUAUCCCAGAAUCACCAAACUUCAAAGUGAGGUUCACUCUCAAUGUGCUCCAAGGUGGGGGUCCAAACAGCCAAUUCUACCUAAUUGACAUCGGAAGCUGUUGGAAGAACAGUGGCCAACCUUGCAAUGGUGACGUGACCUCUGAUGUCACCAGGUACAGUGAGAUGAUCCUGAACCCCAACACCAGCGCCUGGUGCCGCCCAGACAACCUCGGUGUGUGCCCCCCUUACCACACCUUCCGGAGUGGAACCCGGGUCCACCGCAACGACACAGCCCGGUUCCCCUAUGCCGCAUACCAUCUGCACUGCUCACCAGGGAAUGCCGAGCGCCUUGAGGAGCCCUACAGCUUGUGCGACCCUUACAGUAACCCCCAGACCCAGGAGAUCCUGCAGAUUCUGCCGCACCCUGUGUGGGGCGAGUACGGGUACCCGACAAGGCAAGGGGAGGGUUGGAUUGGAGACCCUAGGACAUGGGAAUUGGAUACUGGGAGGUUGUCUCAAUCACUUUACUUUUACCAGGAUCCAGGGACACCAAGUGCUAGGAGGCAAUGGAUGUCUAUAGAUUUGGGGACUGAAAUAUUCAAAGAUCCUGAUCAGGUUGCCGAAUGGAUCAUUAGUGAUUUUGAUAUUGUUGUGCCCAAGAAGAUGGUCAGAACAUAGUCUGCAUUUUCUGUCCUUUUUCCUUUUUCGAGAGUGAGAAAAACUGAAGGGAACAGAGAAAGAGUUUCAACCCAAAGGGUUGUGUAACGUUGAGACCAAACCAGAGAAACACCGAACUUGCAAAUUAAUCUGACAGUUUCUUGGUGGAGUGUGUGAAAGAGGCUAGGAAUCUUCAGUCACUAAAGAAUCUGUGGCUGGUGCAAGAAAGUUUAUGCUUACAAAUCUGUAUUAAUUUGCCAAUAUCAGUUUUCAUUUACAUUAGUUUGCUCC